rnacentral:rRNA from 1 species
UACGUAGGGGGCGAGCGUUGUCCGAAGUUACUGGGCGUAAAGCGCGCGUAGGCGGGUUGGCAAGUCUGCUGUGAAAGCCCGGGGCUUAACUCCGGAGGGUCGGUGGAUACUGCCAGUCUUGAAGGUGCUAGGGAGAGAUGGAAUUACCGGUGUAGCGGUGAAAUGCGUAGAUAUCGGUAGGAACACCAGUGGCGAAGGCGGUCUCUUGGGGCAUUCUUGACGCUGAGGCGCGAAAGCUGGGGGGAGCGAACGGG